rnacentral:rRNA from 1 species
GAUGAACGCUAGCUACAGGCUUAACACAUGCAAGUCGAGGGACCGGCGGACGGGUGAGUAACGCGUAUCCAACCUUCCCAUUACUGUGGGAUAACCUGCCGAAAGGCAGACUAAUACAGCAUAGUAAUGGAUGGGGAUGCGUCUGAUUAGCUGGGUGGCGGGGCAACGGCCCCCCAAGGCGACGAUCAGUAGGGGUUCUGAGAGGCAGUUCCCCCACACCUGAACUGCGACCCGGUCCACACCCCUACGCGACGCAGCAGUGAGUAAUACUGUUCACUGGACGGUAGUCUGACCCAGCCAAGUAGCGUGCAGGAUGACGGCCUAUUGGUUUUAAACUGCUUUUGUAUGGGGAUCGUUACCAUAUGAAUAAGGACCGGCUAAUUCCGUGCCAGCAGCCGCGGUAAUUC